AUGGUAUGUUUUAGUAAUAUAAAGAGUAUAAUAUUUUUUUCAAAACUUUUACAUGCAUUUUUAGAUUAUUGUAACAGUAAAAUAGAUUAUUGGUCAACUAUUUAUAUUUUAUUAGCUUCGGCAAAUUUUUACGUAGAAAUUGAACAAAAGGAGAAUAAUAAUGAGGAAAAUAAAAAUAACGAUAUUUAUAACACUAGUGAUAUGAAUAUAAAUUCUUUACUUGAAAAAUACAAAGUUGAAUUGAACAAAAAAAGUGAUAAUAAUAAUGAUUUAUUAAAAUGUACAGAUGAUGAAAAUGAUUUAAUUAAACAAACAGAAAAAGAAAAAAUGUUAUUCGAAUACGAAGAAAAAAUUGUUAAUAGUGAUUUAUUUUUUUGUUUAGAUAAAGAACAGUAUACGAAUAAAUGUAAUUCUUCCGAAACUAAUAUUAAUAAUAAUGAUAAUAAUAAAAAAAAAAAUGUUAAUUAUGUAACUGAGUUGAAAAAUGAAAAGAACUCUAAAAAUGUGAUAAAUAUUUAUGAAUAUAAAAAAAAAGAACCGGAAGAUAUGGAUGAAAAACAGUUACCAGGUGAAGAAGUUGGAAAAAUAACAAGAGGGGAUGCGCCAAUUAGUGAUAAAAACAGUCAAGAUGAAGAGAGCUACCAAAGAAUGGAACAAAAUUAUGGCGAUAAAGUCCAAUGUAGAAUGGGUCAAGAUGAAAAAAAACAGUGCGAAGAAAAUCAGACGUUACCAAAAAAAGAAAAAAAAAAAAUAUUUUUACAUAAAUUUUUAUACGGACACAACAUAUGGAAUAGUAUAAAAUUAUGGGAAGUAAGUCUUUUAAUAAUUAUUUCGGAAAAUAUACAAGAACUUGUGUUGUUAGAGAAAUUACGUUAUGAAAAUAAAGAAUCAUUAAUAAAAAAAUAUUUUUUUUUUUUUAAAUUUUUUAAUUUUUAUAAUAGUAUGAUUGAUUAUGGAUUGUCAAUUAAUCAAAUUGGUUUUUUGUUAAAUCGAGUUUUUCAUCUUUUUCAUUUAAAAGAUGACCCAAUUGGGCGUAAAUAUUUUUUCCAAAUAAUAGAUCUAGCAAUAAAUAAAAACAUUACUGUAAAUUAUAUUAAAACUGACUCAAAUGAUUUCAACAACGAGUAUAAAAAGUAUUACUUACAAUAUUAUAACAACUAUGUUAAUUACGACAGUUGA
rnacentral:lncRNA from 1 species